rnacentral:rRNA from 1 species
AUUGAACGCUGGCGGCAGGCCUAACACAUGCAAGUCGAGCGGAUGAGAGGAGCUUGCUUCUCGAUUCAGCGGCGGACGGGUGAGUAAUGCCUAGGAAUCUGCCUGGUAGUGGGGGACAACGUUUCGAAAGGAACGCUAAUACCGCAUACGUCCUACGGGAGAAAGCAGGGGACCUUCGGGCCUUGCGCUAUCAGAUGAGCCUAGGUCGGAUUAGCUAGUUGGUGAGGUAAAGGCUCACCAAGGCGACGAUCCGUAACUGGUCUGAGAGGAUGAUCAGUCACACUGGAACGGAGACACGGUCCAGACUCCUACGGGAGGCAGCAGUGGGGAAUAUUGGACAAUGGGCGAAAGCCUGAUCCAGCCAUGCCGCGUGUGUGAAGAAGGUCUUCGGAUUGUAAAGCACUUUAAGUUGGGAGGGAGGGUUGUAGAUUAAUACUCUGCAAUUUUGACGUUACCGACAGAAUAAGCACCGGCUAACUCUGUGCCAGCCGCCGCGGUAACAC